CCGGCGACCGGCGCACGGGUGAGUAACACGUAUGCGACCUGACCCCCGCAGGGGAUAACCGGGAGAAAUCCCGACUAAUACCGCGUAACGCCGCGGACCUGCAUGGGUCUGCGGCCAAAGGAAGCGAUUCCGGCCGGGGGGAUGGGCAUGCGGCGCAUUAGCUAGUCGGCGGGGUAACGGCCCACCGAGGCGACGAUGCGUAGGGGUUCUGAGAGGAAGGUCCCCCACACUGGUACUGAGACACGGACCAGACUCCUACGGAAGGCAGCAG
rnacentral:rRNA from 1 species